AGGGUUCGAUUCUGGCUCAGGAUGAACGCUAGCUACAGGCUUAACACAUGCAAGUCGAGGGGCAUCAUGAGAUUAGCUUGCUAAUCUUGAUGGCGACCGGCGCACGGGUGAGUAACGCGUAUCCAACCUUCCCCUUAGUAGGGCAUAGCCCGGCGAAAGUCGGAUUAAUACCCUAUGUUUUUCCAAUGAGGACAUCUGAGCUGGAACAAAGAUUCAUCGCUAAGGGAUGGGGAUGCGUCUGAUUAGGUAGUCGGCGGGGUAACGGCCCACCGAGCCAACGAUCAGUAGGGGUUCUGAGAGGAAGGUCCCCCACAUUGGAACUGAGACACGGUCCAAACUCCUACGGGAGGCAGCAGUGAGGAAUAUUGGUCAAUGGACGAGAGUCUGAACCAGCCAAGUAGCGUGCAGGAUGACGGCCCUAUGGGUUGUAAACUGCUUUUAUGCGGGGAUAAAGUGAGGGACGUGUCCCUUUUUGUAGGUACCGCAUGAAUAAGGACCGGCUAAUUCCGUGCCAGCCGCCGC
rnacentral:rRNA from 1 species